AGUGAACGCUGGCGGUAGGCCUAACACAUGCAAGUCGAACGGCAGCACAGUAAGAGCUUGCUCUUACGGGUGGCGAGUGGCGGACGGGUGAGGAAUACAUCGGAAUCUACUUUUUCGUGGGGGAUAACGUAGGGAAACUUACGCUAAUACCGCAUACGACCUACGGGUGAAAGCAGGGGAUCUUCGGACCUUGCGCGAUUGAAUGAGCCGAUGUCGGAUUAGCUAGUUGGCGGGGUAAAGGCCCACCAAGGCGACGAUCCGUAGCUGGUCUGAGAGGAUGAUAAGCCACACUGGAACUGAGACACGGUCCCGACUCCUACGGGAGGCAGCAGUGGGGAAUAUUGGACAAUGGGGGCAAGCCUGAUCCAGCCAUACCGCGUGGGUGAAGAAGGCCUUCGGGUUGUAAAGCCCUUUUGUUGGGAAAGAAAAGCAGCAGGUUAAUACCCCGCUGUUCUGACGGUACCCAAAGAAUAAGCACCGGCUAACUUCGUG
rnacentral:rRNA from 1 species